UACGUAGGGAGCAAGCGUUGUCCGGAAUCAUUGGGCGUAAAGCGCGCGUAGGUGGCUUCGUAAGUCCGCUGUGAAAGUCAAAGGCUCAACCUUUGAAAGCCGGUGGAUACUGCGGGGCUAGAGUACGGAAGAGGCGAGUGGAAUUCCCGGUGUAGCGGUGAAAUGCGCAGAUAUCGGGAGGAACACCGGUGGCGAAGGCGGCGACCUGGUCCGUGACUGACGCUGAGGCGCGAAAGCGUGGGGAGCAAACAGG
rnacentral:rRNA from 1 species